AUUGAACGCUGGCGGCAUGCCUUACACAUGCAAGUCGAACGGCAGCGGACCUUCGGGUGCCGGCGAGUGGCGAACGGGUGAGUAAUAUAUCGGAACGUACCUUUCAGUGGGGGAUAACGUAGCGAAAGUUACGCUAAUACCGCAUAUUCUGUGAGCAGGAAAGCAGGGGAUCGCAAGACCUUGCGCUGAUUGAGCGGCCGAUAUCAGAUUAGCUAGUUGGUGAGGUAAAGGCUCACCAAGGCGACGAUCUGUAGCGGGUCUGAGAGGAUGAUCCGCCACACUGGAACUGAGACACGGUCCAGACUCCUACGGGAGGCAGCAGUGGGGAAUUUUGGACAAUGGGCGCAAGUCUGAUCCAGCCAUGCCGCGUGAGUGAAGAAGGCCUUCGGUUG
rnacentral:rRNA from 1 species